UGGAGCGAGAGGAACUCAUCAACAUGACUGAAAAUAAGAUAAGCCCUCGGGCCUGUAGCUCGCUAGAGAAGUUCCAGGUGAGCACUUGACAAGUGUAAAUGUCUGAGGGAGGAUCUGUCUGUGUGCCUGAGGAAUGAUGGUUAACUAAACUUACACAGGAGGGAGAGAUCAUGGGAUGAGAGCACAGACAGGAGACAGGAAAAGAUGAAAUGGGGAGAGACCCUAGAACUUGAAGAUCAUUUGAAGGAUGCUGGCCUUCAUCAGAGAAGCAGGGAGCUACUGGAGGUCCAGAGAAGGAAGUCUCUGAGUUUCACUGUAUCACUCUGCUGUCAUGUGGGAACAGACCGCAGGAGAAAAGCAAGGUAUUUGCUCAUUUAUGCCAGUAGCCUGAUAUUCCUCAAUUUCUUUAAUAAAAAAAUCAUUGUGGUAUAAAUAAGAAAGAAAAUACAGUUAUGUAUAAAGACCAAAGAGAGUCCAAGGUGUGAGGCUCCCUGGUGAGAGGAGAAGAGUGAACCAGGAGGGGGCAGAGGCAUGCAUAAAGCCCUGCGUGCCUCUGGAAUUUUCCUAACAUUCAUCCAAUAUGAGACUAUGCACCACAGAAUAUGUCCAGAUUAGUCCCAAAUGCCCAGAAAUCAGAGGUUGUGGAGAUUCAGGGGAAGACCACUCUAUCCAGGCUAAGGAGUCUGAAGAAGAUGAGUUUGGGGGUCCCCUGUGUUUUUUUCAGGGGCAAAGUCAGCAUCUUCUGGGAAUCUGCGGGGGCUUUGACGGGAGGAAGCACAGUGAGUGUCAUAUGUUGCUUAAGAUAGAUAUCUCAACUUGAGAGCCACAUUUGGCCACCAUGGCAUUUUCACUGCUGGUUUCCAUGGAGAUUCAGAAGAAACCAUGGUUUUUCUCAAGUUAGGAUACAGGGGUGGGGGGUGGAGAGAGGGGAGGAAGUGAUAGUUCUCAGGGGUACUCCUUCAGGUUUUUGGUUUUUGGUUGUUGGUGGUUUUUCUUUUGUUUUUCAAAAUCAGAGCGUCUUCCAAAACUGGACAAAGCUUUGGAGUCUGGAGAUAGUGACGCAACAGCGGGAAGCCCUCUGAAUAUUGAGAAUCUGGUCCAGCCAGCUGAGGACUUGACAGGAACAGAAAUGCUCACUGUCUCCCAAGUACGAGAUGCUUUCCAUCUGAUGGUCUCCAAGCCAAAGCCUCGGGCUGUUCCUGCCUUCAGUGGACCACCGAAGAGCCUGGCGUCAUCACAGACCGCCACCUCAUCUAGUGCUACCGGUAUUGUAAAAACAAGACAUACCCAAAGCGUCACUUCUGCAGACGCAUCCCUGACACCGAGAUCUGUGUGUUUGACCCUGGAGGAAAGAGAGAAAAACGGAUCGUGCCAGGUGAGUGUGAGCCACAUCCUAAUUCCUGGAAUCCUUCCUCAAAGAAGUUAGUGACCUGGAGCCAAGUCUGCAUCUC